GCCGGGCGUACUGGCGUGUGCCUGUAAUCCCAGCUACCUGGGAGGCUGAGGCAGGAGAAUCACUGGAACCUGGGAGGCAGAGACUGCAGUGAGCCAAGAUCGUGCCACUGCACUCCAGCCUGGGUGACAGAGUGAGACUCUGUCUCAA
ensembl:misc_RNA Metazoa_SRP Metazoan signal recognition particle RNA